rnacentral:tRNA from 1 species
GUCCUGUGCGGCUCAGUUGAUAGAGCAUGGUGCUUGCAACACCAGGGUUGUAGGCUCAAUUCCCAUACAGUAUA